rnacentral:rRNA from 1 species
GAUGAACGCUAGCUACAGGCUUAACACAUGCAAGUCGAGGGGAAACGACAUUGAAGCUUGCUUCGAUGGUCGUCGACCGGCGCACGGGUGAGUAACGCGUAUCCAACCUGCCUCUGACCAAGGGAUAACCCGUCGAAAGUCGGCCUAAUACCUUAUGCAGUCGUCGGAAGUCAUCUGAUGACGACGAAAGAUUUCAUCGGUGAGAGAUGGGGAUGCGUCUGAUUAGCUUGUUGGCGGGGUAACGGCCCACCAAGGCAACGAUCAGUAGGGGUUCUGAGAGGAAGGUCCCCCACAUUGGAACUGAGACCCGGUCCAAACUCCUACGGGAGGCAGCAGUGAGGAAUAUUGGUCAAUGGGCGAGAGCCUGAACCAGCCAAGUAGCGUGCAGGAUGACGGCCCUAUGGGUUGUAAACUGCUUUUAUGCGGGGAUAAAGUGAGGGACGUGUCCUUCAUUGCAGGUACCGCAUGAAUAAGGACCGGCUAAUUCCGUG